UGGGCUUGACACUGUAGCUAGUGAAGGUCGGUGCUCUGUCCCAUUUUCUUCCCAGUGGAGUUGAGGGAACGGAGACCAACCGCCUCGUCGGUUCCCUGCAGGACAGAAGUAUUCUCUCGGUGGACGUCGUAUCGCCCAGGUACUUCUGUCUUAAUCUGAACCUCUCCCUGAGAUAUUACGAGUAGUUACACCAGGGCUGUUCAAAACUACGCUACAUUAUCUGAGAUAUCAAGAAUUUCCUGGCUAAGAAGUCGAGUAGGUGCUUACUGCCUAUAUCGAAACGUCUUUCAAACUACACGGCGCAACAACCCAGAAAA